rnacentral:lncRNA from 1 species
CCUACACAAGCUCUCUUUCCUGUCACCACAUAAGAUGUUCCUUUACUCUUCCUUCGUCUUCUGCCAUGAUUGUGAGGCCUCCCCAGCCAUCUGGAAGAGAGGCAAAACUGGCCACUCAGAAGAACUAAGCUCCCAUGCUCUGUGGAACAUUUUCCCUGUGAAGAAUCUUGAUGCCCAUUAAGGGAGGGAGGGACAAGAAAUAGAGCUCUGCACCUCCCAACUUCAAAGGAUUGAGUUUUUGAGGCUGAGAAGUCCAAGAUCAAGAUGCAGCAUUCUCACAUGGCAGAAGACAAAAGAGCAAGAGAGAACCAACUCCCUCCAUCAAGCUCCUUUAUAAGGGAACCUAAUCCCAUUCACAACAGAGGAGCCCUCAUGGCCUAAUCACCUCUUAAAGUACCACUUCUUAAUACUAUCACACUGGCAAAACCUGAAUUUUGGAGAAGAUUCAUUUAAGUCAUAGCAUUCUAUCCCUGACACCCCAAAAUUCAUGUUCUUCUCAUAUACAAAAUACAUUCAUUUAAUCCCAAUAGCUCCCAAAAUUCUUAAUUCAUUCCAGCAUCAACU